rnacentral:rRNA from 1 species
UGAACGCUGGCGGCGUGCCUAACACAUGCAAGUCGAACGAGAACGGAUAUUAGCUUGCUAAUAUUGUCAGCUAAGUGGCGCACGGGUGAGUAAUAUAUAGUUAAUCUGCCCCAAAGAAGAGAAUAAUUGUUGGAAACGACUUGUAAUGCUCUAUAUGCCUUUAUCACAUAAGUGAGCAAGGGAAAUAUUUAUAGCUUUGGGAUGAGACUGUACGGUAUCAGUUAGUUGGUGAGGUAAUGGCUCACCAAGACUAUGACGCCUAACUGGUUUGAGAGGAUGAUCAGUCACACUGGAACUGAGACACGGUCCAGACUCCUACGGGAGGCAGCAGUGGGGAAUAUUGCACAAUGGAGGAAACUCUGAUGCAGCAACGCCGCGUGGAGGAUGACACAUUUCGGUGCGUAAACUCCUUUUAUUAGGGAAGAUAAUGACGGUACCUAAUGAAUAAGCACCGGCUAACUCC